GGCGAACGGGUGAGUAACACGUAAGUAACCUGACUUUAAGACGAGGAUAACAAUUGGAAACGGUUGCUAAGACUGGAUACGAAACAAAAAGGCAUCUUUUUGUUUUUAAAAGACCUUCUUAUGAAGGUAUGCUUAAAGAGGGGCUUGCGCCACAUUAGUUAAUUGGUAGGGUAAAAGCCUACCAAGACGAUGAUGUGUAGCUGGACUGAGAGGUUGAACAACCACAUUGGGACUGAGACUCGGCCCAAACUCCUACGGGAGGCAGCAGUAGGGAAUUUUCGGCAAUGGAGGAAACUCUGACCGAGCAACGCCGCGUGAACGAUGAAGUAUUUCGGUAUGUAAAGUUCUUUUAUUGAAGAAGAAAAAGUAGUGGAAAAACUAUAUUGACGUUAUUCAAUGAAUAAGCCCCGGCUAACUAUGUGCCAGCAGCCGCGGUAAGACAUAAGGGGCUAGCGUUAUCCGGAAUUAUUGGGCGUAAAGGGUGCGUAGGCUGUUAGAUAAGUCUAUAAUUUAAUUUCAGUGCUUAACGCUGUCUUGUUAUACAACCUGUCUUGACUAGAGUGAGAUAGAGGCAAGCGGAAUUCCAUGUGUAGCGGUAAAAUGUGUAAAUAUAUGGAGGAACACCAGAAGCGUAGGCGGCUUGCUGGGUCUUUACUGACGCUGAGGCACGAAAGCGUGGGUAGCAAACAGGAUUAGAUACCCUGGUAGUCCACGCCGUAAACGAUGAGUACUAAGUGUCGGGGUAAAACUCGGUACUGAAGUUAACACAUUAAGUACUCCGCCUGAGUAGUACGUACGCAAGUAUGAAACUUAAAGGAAUUGACGGGACUCCGCACAAGCGGUGGAUCAUGUUGUUUAAUCCGAAGAUACACGAAAAAUCUUACCAGGUCUGGACAUACUCUGCAAAGCUAUAGAAAUAUAGUGGAGGUUAUCAGGGAUACAGGUGGUGCAUGGUUGUCGUCAGUUCGUGUCGUGAGAUGUUAGGUUAAGUCCUAAAACGAGCGCAACCCUUGUCGUUAAUUGCCAGCACGUAAUGGUGGGGACUUUAGCGAGACUGCCAAUUAAACAUUGGAGGAAGGUGAGGAUUACGUCAAAUCAUCAUGCCCCUUAUGAUCUGGGCUACAAACGUGAUACAAUGGCUGUGACAAAGAGUAGCUGAAACGCGAGUUUUUAGCCAAUCUCAAAAAAGCAGUCUCAGUUCGGAUUGAAGUCUGUAACUCGACUUCAUGAAGUUGGAAUCGCUAGUAAUCGCGAAUCAGCAUGUGGCGGUG
rnacentral:rRNA from 1 species